CAACAGGGGUCUCUUGAGCAUGCGCUGUGUACCUGGUGCUUGCAGCCUGGGAGUUCUUGGCUCAGUAACAGUUCAGAGCAGCACUGGUCUGUCUGUGAGCAAGCUUAAUGAUUUGAAGUACCAUAUUUUUUCUGAUGCUGGAAAGUGGCAGAGAGCCACCAUUCCCAGACAGCCACACAACAAUUCAGGUACCAGGGAUAGAGCUCAGGUCCUUGAGCUUGCGCAGCAGGCGGUGAAACCAGUGAGCUGAAUCCCCGGCCCCCCGAGUUGUUUUCUUUAAGGAGUGGCCCUGGGAGAAUAAAAGCAGACCUUAGAACUGGGGACCUAUCUUGCAUCUCAUGGCUUCUGCUGCUGUCUGCUUGAUGGAAAUCAGCCACAUAUGGAGAUUAUUUGCUGCUUCUGUCUGGCAAGAACUAUUUCUCCUCCUAGAUGCCCCUCUGCCAUGCCACCCUGACUUGAAGCCAGCCAGCCAUGGACUAAAACCUCUACAAACUUACCAUUGAGCUUACUGUGGACGCACAGCAAUCAGUGGAAAGAAGGUUGGUGUGGUUUGGAUGUGUCCCUUCCAAAAUUCAGGUGUUGCUGAUGUGACAGCAUUGAGAGAUGAGUCUUCAAGAAGCAAUUGGGCCAUGUGGGCUCCAUUUUGUGGAUAGAUUUGGGUUGUUAUACCAAGCACCUUGUGGACUGGGUUCACUCUUUUCCACUCUUCUGCCAUGGGAUGAUGCAGCUUGAAGGCCCUCACCAGAUACUCA
rnacentral:lncRNA from 1 species